CAUGUCUAUCAGACACUUACUGUAAUGUGAGAUAUAACUAUAUGGAUAUCUUAGCAUGUUACGAUUGUGAACAAUAAUAUUUCAUUCUAACUCAAUGUUUUCUAUGUGUGUAUUUGGAAAUAUUAGAUGAGUAUUGGAUAAAUAUGAAGCUUAUCAUGUGAGGCUUCAGCAAAGCAUUGGGCCAUCUGCUAUCGUUAUGAAAGGGGACACUUCCGUUUGGAUAUUGAUAAUCAGAAGGCGUUUCUAUUAAAACAUGUCUGCUUCCCAUCACGACACGCAGAUUGCACAACUAACUGAGACACGCUACGUAUAUGUAUGAUGUCUUUUGUGUGCAAUUUAUGUUAUUUGCAAAUACACUUAACAGUUAAACUGUGAAUCUAAGUAACGAACAGAAAGGAAAAGUAAACAAAAAUAUUGCGAUUACUUUUCCGGUAAAUUUCUCAUGGAACGUGUGCACCUCUCUAGAAUUUUUUUAUAUAACUAUGUCCAAAAUUUUAAAAUGUCAACGGAGGAAACUAAUGAAAAAAUAUUUCAGUAAAGUUUGUUAAAGCAAUAAACGUCUUUUUAAAGGGCACGCUGUUUUUUAUGUCUCUUAUGCUUUAGCAUAGGUUAAGACUUAAACUGGUUUAUAAAAAUUGUUAUAUAUUAUAUUUAAUGAUACUUGUUUACCUUAUUCUCGUAAAAAGUGGGCAGAACAUUUAUGUAUUAUUCUGAAGUUAUAUAAAUGUUGACUUCAACUAGUCGGGGUAAUAUGUAAGGGCUCUACUACUCCGCCCCGCUAUAAAGUCAUGAUAUAAAUAACCUUGCGCAAUAUUGUCCAAAAUUGUUUUUGUACAUCACGUGACCACUCUGCGCAUUUUGUCCGGGGACCAAACAAUGUCACAGUGCAGCAUUUUGUUCUGUUACUUUUGCGUGGACACUAGAAUAAUUGAAAAACACAAUUGAUCGUAUUUUAACCAAAGUAUACUUUCACUCUUAUCCAAUGUUUUUGUCAUAUUUCAGCAACCGAGCAAACAUGUGCCUAUGGGUCCCAUAUGGGCUUCAUACGGGCAUCCCCAUAUGGUCUUGUCCAUAUUGAUCCCGUAUGGGCAUCUAUAUGUGCAAACCAAUAUGGGCAUGUUGAGAUACUACCAUGUUUACUGCAGCAGCACUGUUUUGAAAAAUGACUUUAAAUGAAUAAAUUUGUAUAAACUUA